ACGUUGAAACAUUGGUUCCCUUACGAUCAUCGAAGUUAAGCAACGUCGAGCCUGGUCAGUACCUAGAUGGAUGACCACUCAGGAAUACUAGAUGCUGUAAG